GAAAUAGGUUAUUCAGAAAAAAGCUUCUAACUUUAAUUCUUAGCGAUGAAAUUUCGUUAAUAUUUCU
rnacentral:tRNA from 1 species